rnacentral:rRNA from 1 species
GACAGAGGUGCCGAGCGUUAGGCGGAAUCACUGGGCUUAAAGCGUGUGUAGGCGGAUCUGUAAGUACCUUGUGAAAUCCCACGGCUCAACCGUGGAACCGCUUGGUAUACUGCGGGUCUUGAGCUAUCUAGGGGCAACUGGAACAAACGGUGGAGCGGUGAAAUGCGUAGAUAUCGUUUGGAACGCCAAUGGUGAAAACAGGUUGCUGGGGAUAUGCUGACGCUGAGACACGAAAGCCAGGGGAGCAAACGGG